AACCGGUCGAAUUACAUACCCUGAUAAGAGACGCCUAGAUAUAGCAUCAUCAAUAUCAUCAAACAAUGCCCAUCGAUCGAUGCUUCAAUCGGACUCUAUCAAAACGUUAGUAUAAUAAGUUCUACCAUUAAACUGCUGCAUAGCUCGGAACCAUCUCCUGAAGGCACCGAGGAAAUGGAGACUAAUCAUGGUGAUGUAAACACGAAAGCUAUGUCCCUCAUAGCACUUCUGCAGUGAUCACGCCAAAGCUACAAUCCGAGAGGAUGUCACUCAUUGAUUGGGCUAUCUGGUUAUUAUUGAUGAGAAUUUUUUUGCUAAAUGCUACUUGAGGUUCUUCUGGUUCUGUUGAAGAUGACCAAGAAUGUGCACUGCAUAUUGCCAUGGUUUAAAUUAUUCAAUCGUGUGGAGAGUGACAAGCGGAUCAGGAUUCGAUAGGAAAUAUUAACGAUUAAAUGCUUAUCUAAAACGCUUGUGCCAUCUGGUUGUUGGCGAUAAUUAUUGAUUUGCUCUCGAAGGAUAAUGGAACUUUUGCAUCACGUGGUUUGGGAAUAGUGCGCUCAAUUUCCAUGAAUAACAAUAAGGAAAAACUGUCCAAUUAGUUGUUGGUCAACUAGUUGGUGGUAGACAUGUGCAGAAAGAAGAAACUAAGCUUGUCGAGAAAGGCAUACUGAGGACGGCACCGAGCGAGUAAGUAAACCUGAGCAAGUUGGAUUUUCGUUUCGUGUUCUGCUCGUCAGCAUGCGGCAGCUGUCGUGACCAUCAUGAAGUUAAGUUGAAUAAUACAGACAUCCAUUCAUAACUUACGAAUUUUAGAAUUCAAA